AGAUCAGCGAGCUCACGAGCAUCAAGAAGGAGGACGUCAUCUCCACGCUGCAGUACCUGAACCUCAUCAACUACUACAAGGGCCAGUACAUCCUGACGCUCUCCGAGGACAUCGUGGAGGGCCACGAGCGGGCGAUGCUCAAGCGAGUCCUUCGCAUCGACGCCAAGUGCCUGCACUUCACGCCCAAGGACUGGAGCAAGCGGGGCAAGUGGUGAGGCCACGCCCACCCCCCCCCGCGGCAAGCCACGCCC